GGGAUCGUCGUCUAGCUUGGUAUGAUACUUGUCUGGGGGGCAAGUGGUCGCAGGUUCAAAUCCUGCCGGUCCCA
rnacentral:tRNA from 2 species